CCUGGGCUGUGAGGGCUCUCAGCCACAUGGAUGGAAAAGAAUAGAAGAAGCAUCUGACUCCUUCAUGCAUGC
rnacentral:tRNA from 1 species